AUGGCUAGAUGGGCUACUCUCAUCAAUACAAUUAGCCAGGUUGUUUUGUCUAAGAUUCCAGACCAACCUAUAUGGAUGUUGGAAUCUUCCAGCUGAUACUCAGUCAAGUCAUUUUACAAACUGAUCAAGUUUGGGGGGAUCCCAUAUGAGAUUAAAGAUGAUAUAUUGAAAAUUAAAGUUCCCAACAUUCACAUAUUUUUGUGGCUGAUUUACUAUAACAAGAGCUUGACCAGAGAUAAUUUAGCCAAACGCAGACAUGCAGAAGACAAGACUUGUGUCUUUUGUGGUGAAUUGGAGACAAUACAACAUCUUUUCUUUGAUUGUAUUGUAGCUAGGAAAGUGUGGGAGUUUGUUGCUGAAUGCUUUAACAUUUCCGCACCUGAUUCUUCUGUCUCGCUUUCUUCCUUUUGGAAGAAGAGAACAUACUAUGAGGCUGUGAACAUCACUACUUCUGCUGCCUUGUGGGGCUUCUGGCGUUUGCACAGUGAUUUAGUUUUCCAGGGGCGAAGAUGGCGAAGUAUACAAUGUGCUUUGGAUCUGUUGGGAGCAAUGAUCAGAUGGUGGAAAAUCCUAUGUUCAGAGGCUCGGGGUGCGCUUCUUCUCCGGUGUUUAAGGCUCCUGGUGUUGGAAAUAUGCCCUAGAGGCAAUAAUAAAAUGGUUAUUAUUGUAUUUCCUUGUUCAUGA
rnacentral:rRNA from 1 species